CGGAGCAUGUGGUUUAAUUCGAAGCAACGCGAAGAACCUUACCAGGUCUUGACAUCCUCUGACAAUCUGAGAGAUCAGACUUCCCUUCGGGGACAGAGAGACAGGUGGUGCAUGGUUGUCGUCAGCUCGUGUCGUGAGAUGUUGGGUUAAGUCCCGCAACGAGCGCAACCCCUGUGGUUAGUUGCCAUCAUUUAGUUGGGCACUCUAAGCAGACUGCCGUGGAUAACACGGAGGAAGGUGGGGACGACGUCAAAUCAUCAUGCCCCUUAUGACCUGGGCUACACACGUGCUACAAUGGUCUGAACAGAGGGCUGCGAAACCGCGAGGUGAAGCUAAUCCCUUAAAACAGAUCUCAGUUCGGAUUGCAGGCUGCAACUCGCCUGCAUGAAGUUGGAGUUGCUAGUAAUCGCAGAUCAGAAUGCUGCGGUGAAUGCGUUCCCGGGUCUU
rnacentral:rRNA from 1 species